rnacentral:piRNA from 1 species
UACAAAACUAUAAGAAGCCAAAGUAUGAGG